rnacentral:rRNA from 1 species
GACGAACGCUGGCGGCGUGCCUAAUACAUGCAAGUAGGACGCAGUUGCGAACGGGUGAGUAACGCGUAGGUAUCUACCUAUUAGAGGGGGAUAACUAUUGGAAACGAUAGCUAAUACCGCAUACUAGUAGAUGGACCUGCGUUGUAUUAGCUAGUAGGUAGGGUACUGGCCUACCUAGGCAACGAUUCAUCGCCGACCUGAGAGGGGGAACGGCCAAACUGGGACUGGGACACGGGCCAGACUCCGUCGGGAGGCAGCAGUAGGGAAACUUCGGCAAUGGGGGGAACCCUGACCGGGCAACGCCGGGGGAGUGAAGAAGGUUUUCGGAUCGUAAAGCUCUGUUGUUAAGGAAGCGGUACUUAACCAGAAAGGGACGGCUAACUACGUGCCAGCAGCCGCGGUAAUAC